rnacentral:tRNA from 3 species
GCGGGUGUCGUACAACGGCUAGUACAUCAGCCUUCCAAGCUGAGGACGAGGGUUCGACUCCCUUCACCCGCUCCA